rnacentral:tRNA from 1 species
GCAUUAGGGGUUCAGUGGUAGAAUCCUUACCUUCCAUGUGGGAGACCUGGAUUUGAUUCCCAGUCAAUACA